AAGGACUCAAGUGCCUUCGUCUUAAUCACUGCAGUAAGCUUGUUGAAGUCCCAUUUGAACUGGCUAAUGUUCCAAGCUUCCAGAUAUUGGACUUGAACUGUACCAGCAGAUCAGCAGCUAAAUCUGCCAAGAAAAUUUCGGAGCAUUAAAAGCAAAUUGGUGGUAGUGGAUUUAAGCUUUCGAUUUACCCUUCAGAUCAUGAUCAAUGAUCUCCAUUUGCUCGAAGCUCAUAAAUGCUACUUCACAGGCUGAUAAUCAGAUGAACAGUGAUGUCAUGAGUGUUGAAUAAAGGAAGUUUAGAUGCAUGGAGCCAAUGUUUCUCUUCCCUGUGUUUUUCCAUUACGUUCAAUAAAAAAUUGCACUUUAUUGUAUGUUGAACUUCAAAAUAUUGGUAGUUUCUUUUUACUCAGUGUGUUGUAUUGCUGUAAUCAUUUUACCUUGCUUUAGCUUUUGACUAUGGAAUUACUGCUGCUUUCAUUUUACCUACUUAUAAUUUUUUUUCUUGACAAAGUGGCAAAUAGAAAACUGCAUGGUCUUGCGCUCUUA